AUGUGUUGGUUGUUUGGGCCACCUCCUAGUCCCACCCCCACUUCCCAUGAUUUGCUAACCUCCUCGUGCCCACCUUCACAUUAUCUACAGGAAAAAAAAGCCUUCACAUUAGGGCGCUACCUCCUCCGUCCAAGUACCACGCAGCCAAGCCAAAUCUCUUCUCUCCCUGACCACAACGCCGCCGCCACCACCUCUGAUUCAGCUAGCUCCGGCGCUCUGUCUCGCCGUUGCUCACCGGACCAGCUGCCCCACACUGCUCUCCUCCGACCCCCCGCCAUGGCGAUGUCUUCCGCGCCACUACAUGCGGCCCGCAGCAACCCUAGGUGCCACAGGUCGCCAGCGCCCGCGCCUCCUCUGGUUCGCCAUACUACCCAGUCCCCGUGGUACAUCUCCACACGCGCGGCUGCUGGCUCGGCGGUGGUGUUGCUGCUCCGCCUCGGCAACCUCGACUCCGACGCCACUGACGGUUCAGCCAUGGCAGAUUCUUCUUUGCCGGCCAUCGUGAUGGCGAUCUGCGGGACCUUGAUACUCAUUCUGAUCCACCUCCGCCACCGGCGUCCAUGCCACUCCACCUUCAUGAAUCAGAGUAUUCCUAAAGAUGACGUUCUGUCCCAUAGCUUCCCCUUUUCCUUCCCGCCUUUCAGAUUGUAUAACACUGAGCGCUUACUUGUGUACCUCUAUCCUUCUCUCGUAGUACUGCUACCAUGGGAAAGGGUGGCCGAUGUACUGCAGGUCAGUACGAUCGAGGGCAAGGCACACGUGGGUGGAGAGGAAACGCUUGCAGCUAGGUUAAAGGAAGGGCUGAGCACGAUCAAUCCAGUGUGGUGUUACAGAUCUGGGCCUCUAGCUUGCUGUCAAAGACGCGUUCUUGCAGAGAACCUGAGUAAAGCUGUAAUUCUCGCCAACGCAUCAAUGCAAUGCAAGUCAGCUCUAGUUCUGAACAAUGGACAGCGUGAUGGUGAUUCAUCCUAUAACAAUAUCAUAGAAUGUAUCUGCAGGAAGUUCAUAGAGAAGCUUGUCAUCCAGCAUGAAGGGUGCGGGAAGAUGAAGACGAAGAUGAUGCAUGGCUAA
rnacentral:rRNA from 1 species